rnacentral:lncRNA from 1 species
CUGGUAUAGACUGGUAGAGGAUCUCCUGAGGGUGGAGUUGAUCAGGAGUGUGAUGCAGGGCAGGUGGUCCUAAGGGUAUUUAGGUAGCUCAUCGCUUCUGAGCAUUCCUUUCUCUUAUUAAUUCUGAACUCAGGACAGUUUGGAGUAGGGAGAGAGGACAACAAAGAAGUAGGAGGCUGGUAUUCCAUGGACUGCUAGGGCUUUGUGCUGCCAUAUCCUGGAGCUCUGCCCUGACAUGGCUCAGUAGAUACUUAGUUAUCAAGAAGAGGUCAAAUUGUGUUGGACAGGAGAUCGUUCAUUAAAUAGUGGAAGACACACAGUAGUUUAUGUUCAAGGACAUGCAAGCAAAGUAGUAUUCACUUCCAUCAAGAUGUGCUCAAGUGCUAGGCUCCAGAGCUUGCUAACAUGACCUUAUUUGGAGAUGGUGAGUCUUAACUGAUGUAAUCAAUCUAUUAUGAAGUCAUACUGGGCUAGUAUGGACCAUGACCUAAAUGACUGACAUUCUUGUGAUGGUGAUGGCUCUGUGAAAAUGGAGAUUGGAGUGGUUGUCUACAAACCAGAAAAUGUCAGGCCUUUCUAGAAAUCCUUCAAAGCCAGGAGAGAUGAGGGGAAAAUUUUCCUCACCCCUGAGCUGAGAGAGAGAGAGAGAGAGAGAGAGAGAGAGAGAGAGAGAGAGAGAGCAUUGUUAAUGUCUUGAAUUUGCAGUUCUUUGUAUACUUCUGAAGUUCAAACUCUGCUGCCUACACUCCACCUUUUCUUGCUACCCAACACAGCCAGAUAUCAUCUCGUUAGAGUUUUUCCCAUUGCUGUUUAAUAUUCAGAAGACUCACAAUUGCAUAUCCAAUGUAAGGGUAGAGUUAUUGACUGCCGAGAAAGGAGGUAUUGUUGAAGCCGUCUUUUAUUUUGUGUCUGUGCAGAUGGCAUACAAAUGCCUCCAUGAUACAGGCAGAGAGGCCAGUGAACACAUCUGAAUCUGAAUGUGGAACACCAGCUGUCUCACUCAGCCCUUCCCACCACCUUCGUGUGAGCACGUGGACAAAACAUUUAGAGAUUGAAGGUGUCACUAAUUUUCUGUAGUAAUUGAAUUCCCAAGUUAAGGAAUAGCACAACGAACGGAGCCUGUCUGGUCCUCAUGGACUGUUUUACCUCUCAUAUUCCAGGUUGGUAUGCUGAGUUGCUGGUGACUAAGCAAAGCCUGACACAGCUUCACAAGAGGUCCCUCAAACUUUGACCGCCAUGGAGACUUGGCAAUCCAUUCAGACUACUUUGAGAAGCAGUUCAAAACUGAUUUGUAUUCUAUGAUUCUUUUUCCUACCUUGUAUUUCUUUCUGUAAAAGAGUUGAGGCUGAUCUAAUUUUAGGAUUUGGCCAUUUGAGUUGAACUUGGUGGUUUUAGUUUUAUUGCUGUUUUUCUUCUUUUAGGUUGAGAGCGAGAGG